rnacentral:rRNA from 1 species
CGGAGGGUGCAAGCGUUAUCCGGAUUUAUUGGGUUUAAAGGGUCCGUAGGCGGAUCUGUAAGUCAGUGGUGAAAUCUCAUAGCUUAACUAUGAAACUGCCAUUGAUACUGCAGGUCUUGAGUAAAGUAGAAGUGGCUGGAAUAAGUAGUGUAGCGGUGAAAUGCAUAGAUAUUACUUAGAACACCAAUUGCGAAGGCAGGUCACUAUGUUUUAACUGACGCUGAUGGACGAAAGCGUGGGAGCGAACAGGAUU